UCUCUCUCUCUCUCUCUCUAUCCUUUUCUUAAUUAAAACCAUAGUUACUUUGGCUCCUUUUAACCCAAAAAUGCCCAUGCAGGAUAAGGAUGGCAGGACAUAAACAAGACAUUAUACAUUCAAACCAAUGAUAAAUCUAUGAAAGUUUUGGAAUUAACCAAUUCUGAACCCCAAACACAUACUUAUUUUCAAAGCUCACACCCAAAUCAAACUGAUGAAGUCCAAAACAAAUAUUAGUUACAAUCUCAAAUGAAAAUGUAAAACUCCUGUUCAGUUUCAUUUGAAUGCACUGCAAUGGAAACAUAGAUAUCAAUUUUUUUCCAGUUCUGAUAAUAUUGGCCUGAGGUGUACUAUGUGUACAGGACACAUAGACACAUGUAAACUACACUAUGCAAAUAUCAAAUCUUUAACAUAUGAACAAAACACCAUACUGACACUAAACCAAAGGAUGCAAAAUUUUUAUCUUACCAUAUAAAUAUCAAGAUGUAUAUGAAAUCAGAGAACAGUACAGUAUCAGAAAGGAUAAUUCAAGGAAACCUGAAAUUGUGGGUAGUCUGGUG
rnacentral:misc_RNA from 1 species